AUGUUUAUAGGUAUGCUGGUAGCCGAAAAGGAAAGAAAAAGGCCAAGAAAAAGCCAAACUCAAAACAAUAUUAAAAAGAUUGGUAUGAUGGAAAUGUCGAGACCAUGUCGAAGAGCAAAACAAAAGAGGAAAAUUGGUCUCAGAACACGCAAAGAAGCGACAAUAACAAACAAUAACCCACAACGGUACCGAGACUCCAAUGCGUACGGGGCAUGGCGGUGGUGUGAAGGACCGCCCAAAAGCACCACCACAACAGCCCAAGGAGUGAAACAUGCCCAGUUCCCCAAGUAACAACAAGGUAUACGAAAUAUACCUUAGGUAUCAUUAUCCAUGAAAAAAUAGCAGCAAGAAAAGCGGUCAUGAACAAUCUCUGGUGCUCCAGCAGAGCUCAAAUUUCCCUCCCGCUAACCCAAAUGAUCAUCACUGUCGUUCCAUCAUGAUCAAAGAAGCAAAAUACCGCGGUAUGAUAUUUGGAGCUGUAUUCCGCACUUCAAAGUGACCAACAUAGCGGAAAGUUGGGGAAGAAGUAAUAGUACAUUAUUGACCCCAAAAUUUUCGUUUCCCUCCCCCCCCGGUGCGGUCAGUUUCCCGCAUGCCUAAUCCCCUUCCCAUCGCUUGAUAACUUUUACGAUGUCGGCCGCUGUCCAUACACGAAGUGGAAAGUAGUCAAGAGAUGGUUUUUGGGGUCGCGGAAUUCCUUUCGUACUGCAUUGCACAAGAGUUGGGUUUCGUCCAUUUUCCAGCCCAGGAUCCGAGUGAAGAGGGCCAGGCUGAAUGAUUCAAUACAGUUGCACAUGUGUUCCAUCUGGAAUGCACCCAUCUCCUUGAGUUUGGGAUCUUUGGGCCAUGUGCCCAUUGGGACCUACGCGGAGGAUCCAUGUUAGUUUUCAUGGAACAACAGAAUAAAAAAGGAAAUUAAAAAGGGAAGAAAGAAGAAAGAAGAAACAUCAGCCGAUAUGAGAAAUGAUACCUUGUAUACAUCGUCCCGAACAUCCUUGAAACCGGCGUCAAUCAAAUGCUGCUUCUGUUCGCGAGCAACAUUCAUGCGUUUUCCAAAUUUUAUACUCGCUUCGUCUAUCAGGGCUAGCCAGCGGGCGGUAUUGGGACACUUCUUAAGCGUGGGGUCAUCAUCGGAGGAAACCCACGCUUCAUACUCUUGCAUCUCGAUCCAGCCGCCAGGCUUCAGGUGCUGGAGUGCACGGUUAUACAGCAUGUUCCAGUCCUUUAUGCUCCCGCCCAUCCCCCGCGCGUGGAUAAAAUCAAAUGCCUCGUUUGGUGUAUACACCCAUUCGCUUUCAACAUCAUCGACAUAAAACUUGCAAUUAGGAGGCACCCAAGAUGGUUGAAUGGGGCUCAGAUCAUUGCCGAUGACGGUGGCGGAUUGGAACUCGUCAGCAAAGUCCAUGGCCCAUGCACCCGUUGCCGUCCCAAAAUCCAGCACUCUCUUCGGCUUGGCGGUAAUGGGUGCUCGGAAGAGGCGACCACCUAGUACGAGGCGGAAAAUGUGGUGAUGUAACUCGAGUCGUUCCUGUUCCGCCUCGUCAUUUGGUAACAUGUAAGAACCGUUCCUGUAUCCAUGAUAUCUUCUUCCAUUUUCUUUCCCGAGAUAGAAAAGGCAUUAGCACGGACAGUCGAUCCGGCAAUAAGCACAGCUGCUACUAGUGUUUUUGGGAUGGGCGCCCACCGUAUCUAUAUUCUAGGAUUGAGGAGGAGAGCGAGGUUCCAAACGACGAUCCGCCGCCAAUGCUGUUGACUGAGUCGCCAUCCGUGUCUGCGAAGUCUGUCUGCUUCUGUUAUCAGUUCUACAAAAGUCUAAAGAUGAAAUAAAUAAAACAAGAGAGAGAGAGAGCGAGAGAGAGAAUCCAGGAACUUCGAUAGGGAGUCCUACAUCAAUAUCGAUGACCCCAGGAUUUGGUGCAGAGGGCUGCACGAUUGUCUCAGUUUGGAGUGCCAUUUUUGCCCGCUUCUCGAAAAAACCAAGGAAGCAAGAAGCAAAAACAAAUUGCCAAGUGUAGGGGAAAAAAAGUAAUCAAAUAAAAUAUUUCGUGAGAUUCUGUGUGUACCAGGAAAUUGUGAAGAGAUACUUGUUUUGGAGGCUUGCACAAACUUGGGAACCAUCGUAUAUAUGGGCACCAGAACAUGCGGGAGAGCCAGACCUCCUCGCCCGACUCCUUGACAGGCCUUUCCUUGAGGAAGAGCACCGAAUUGGCCAAUCUUGCUUUAGCCGCUGAGUCCAGGCCGGGAAUCAGCUUGAUCAUCCCGUCCGCUUACUGCAUAAACCUUAGUGCGGCAGGCUUUCGACUGCUAACGUCGCGGAGAUCGGGACGGCCAUUCACGACCCCAGCAGCGAGUGGCCCUUAUGCUGUCCCCGGACAUGUGAGAGCGCACAACCAUCCUUAGUGUUUCGCCGGGCCUUGCAUUAACUUUGCCAAUGAAAACUGCCCCCAAUGUUCUGUAUGGUAAGAUUUGUGGCAGCUUCAUACCGAGCGAUUGACUGAACAAGCUUCCGGGGCUCAAGCACCGAGAAUCAAAGCCAAACAUAUCAGGUCCAGAUAAUGAACCUGCAACUGGAUUAUGCGGCAUCCAUUGUCCUAUUCCAGCAGCUCCUUGGUCCCCUAGAUACGGUUCAUGAGGGUUUGUUCGCGGUAAACAUACGCCGUACAAAAGUUAGAUGCAUUAAGCGCCACCAAUCCCACAAGUUGGCACAAUGAACUACUCCGAUGUACAGCAUUCCUCGAGAGUUCAGACUAAACUAAAAUGGCGUCCAGACUGGAGUCCUUUGAGAUUUCUCCUCGCCCAACUAACAGACAGCGGAGCGGGGGAAGGACGGCAGUAAAGUGGAGCAGCCGCAGCCAGAAAAUCCCCACCACCAGGCCUCUCGCCAACAGCGUUUGCGAACGUUGUUGCUUCGGUCUCACUCCAGCGUCAAAGGCGUCAUCCCCAAAGCGUCGCCGGAGGAGUCGCUGGUUGUUAGGCCAGCCAUGACUCGUAUACACACUCGCAGAACCCGAAGUUGUUUUUAUUUUCAUCGUUCAAUUUUUUUUAUUUUUGCCUCUGCACAGGUCGGGGAGCCAAUAGCAGUCCCAUACCACACGAGGCUCAAACAAUCGACCUAUGAUUCUCUCUGACACCGACACUAUCUUGUAGCAUCGGGGUGAGCAGCUCUGAAGUUACAUCCGCCCCAGUCACUCGAGAAGCGUGGUUGGUCUGGAAUAACAUUCCCAUAUGGCACCUCGCUUCAACUUCCGAGAGGCUGUAGAACUAGAGCGCUUUUGCACUAGGGCACGCCAUUCCCUAGAGAGAGGCUGAGAUUCCUCUCCUCCUUCUGCUGCUGCUGCUUGCUGCUGCUUUUUCUUCUUCAUAUUCGACUUCUUUCGAACAAGCACAGGCGCAGGGUUUCCAAGGGCUCAGUGCUUCACAGCUGUGGCGCAUGAGCAACUCUGCCGGACGUGCUCACCACUCUGCUCUGCGUCUGGUUGCAGGGAAUCUCGCGUUGAACCAUUGGCCGAAAUAUGGGGAAUUCGUGCCAAGGCCCAUCCCAAUCAAAGCCGUUUCUUCCAGCGUACGGAGGGCCUUGUUGUGAUGAUCAUGAAGGUUGAUGGAAUUCAACCCAACCGCUCAAGCUUUCAUGCCCCGACGACGGAGAAGCGAAUAUGAAUUCAGCGGAAUUACUGUUGGCUUCCUCUGUCAUGACUUGUGAGAGCACACAGAGCCUCUGGACAACCGAACUUGCAUGAAUCUGGUAGACGCGAGCUUGGACUGCACAUUUUAUCCCUGGAGAGCUCCGCAAACACUCACUGGAUGUGGUAGUUCCGCGCGUCUCUUGGAACUACAAUCAAACUUUUCUCCCCCAAGCUAACAUGAAGAUUAAGGUUAGUUGGAGAGUGAGGGUCUGAGACAUGAAAAUAAAUAUAAUAUAAUAUAAUGUAGAUAUAAAUAGAUGUAGAUAUAGGACAAACUCCAGCGUAGUCUUGGUGAGGAAGCCGGUUGUUGUGCGUGGAAUUACGCCGACAGUAUUUUUUUUGCUCUUUUACCCAACCAAAAAAAAAAAAAAAAAUUAACCAUAGCCUCAACUCCGAAAAGAUACUUCCGUGAAUAACUAAUAAAAAAUGAUAGAAUAAAAGCAAGAACAAGCCAAUGUUGCAUCUCCGGGAACCAAAAACAUCUCGGCCAAACAUCUCCAAACUUUGGCAACGUCAAACUCAAUUGUUUCUGCAAAACGGCAAGUGAGCGAAGCGUUCGGGGGAAAUUCAUUCAUUCUAUCCAAGGAACUCUGGACUAAGUUAAGAC
rnacentral:sRNA from 1 species